UUUGGUUGAUCCUCCAGUAGUCAUAUGCUUGUCUUAAAGAUUAAGCCAUGCAUGUCUAAGUACAAGCUUUUUACGGUGAAACUGCGAAUGGCUCAUUACAACAGUUAUAGUUUCUUUGGUAUUCGUUUUCUAUGGAUAACCGUGCUAAUUUCGUAUGGGCUAAUACAAGUUCGAUGCCUUUUGGCGGCGUUUAUUAGUUUUGAAGCCUUCUUUUUGGUGAUUCAUAAUAAACUUGCGAAUCGCUUUUUGCGAUGGCCCAUUCAAGUUUCUGACCCAUCAGCUUGACGGUAGGGUAUUGGCCUACCGAGGCAGCAACGGGUAACGGGGAAUUAGGGUUCGAUUCCGGAGAGGGAGCCUGAGAAACGGCUACCACAUCUAAGGAGGCCAGCAGG
rnacentral:rRNA from 1 species